rnacentral:rRNA from 1 species
AUUGAACGCUGGCGGCAGGCCUAACACAUGCAAGUCGAGCGAGCGGCGGACGGGUGUGUAAUGUAUGGGGACUGCCCGAUAGAGGGGGAUAACUACUGUAAACGGUAGCUAAUACCCCACACUAUCGGAUAACCCAUAUGGGAGUAGCUAGUAGGUGAGGUAAUGGCUCACCUAGGCGACGAUCCCUAGCUGGGCUGAGAGGAUGAGCAGCCACACUGGAACUGAGACACGGCCCAGACUCCUACGGAGGCAGCAGUGGGGAAUAUUGCACAAUGGGCGCAAGCCUGAUGCAGCCAUGCCGCGUGUAUGAAGAAGGCCCUCGGGUUGUAAAGUACUUUCAGCGGGGAGGCGUUACCCGCAGAAGAAGCACCGGCUAACUACGUGCCAGCAGCCGCGGUAAUUC